rnacentral:lncRNA from 1 species
ACUCACCUCUCUUCAGAGACUCCUAUAAACCUUAAAAGUCGCCACUAUAUCCAACUGCCCUAAAGUGGCGGCGGCGCCUCUAUACCACCUCAAAUCCAUAUCCCGAAACCCUCGUGGCUUCUUCAUACCAAAUCAUGCACCCCUUUUCUUCAAAUCAUCACAGAAGUUGUCGAAUUUUAAAUCAAAGGUCGGAACCCUAAAAUCCCAAAACCCAAGUCAGUGAAGUUUACCGAAUGCUUAAGGCCAAAAUCGGCUUUAUUCUUGUAUUUUCAUUUAAGAACACAUGAUUAAAGCCUAUUUAGUUCAAAAAUCAGAGUUACCUUUGAAGACCUUUCAAGCCUUUUUCCAUUUUGCCUAGGUAUUCUUCAGUUCUUUUCCUUUCUUUCAUUUUUUUUGUUCAUUAGUUUGUCUGUUUUAAGUUCUAGUCUUCAUCUUCUCUUACUUUGUCUACUCCGUUUUUUUGUUUUCAUUUUAAAUUGGUAUGUUUGUGUGUUUUAAAAUUGAGUUUUUCAUGCAUGUCGUGUUAAUUUUUAUUGUUUCUUUGUGUUAUUUUAUUUUCUCGUUUUCAAAGAAAAAUAAAUUCAAUUUUCCUCUUGGGCAAUUCUGCCUAGCCCAAUGAUUCCAUACGGACUUUGAAAUCAGAAGCCUAGGAAGGAAAUUCAAUCUAGUCUUGCAAGCCUAGGAUUUGUGAAUUAAACCAUAGGUUCAAUCUGAGUCUUGACCCGUAGGUGUUUGGUCUUUGAAGUAAAACUGGGGCUCCUAAGGGGUAGUUUAGGAAUUGUAGGUGGGGGAAUAUUUUGUAACAAGAAAAGGAAGCUUCUAUGAAGUAGAAAUUGGGGGGCUGUUAUGAUAACUUGGUAAUUACAAUAAGGUUAGUUCAGAAAAAAGAAAAUUACCUAAGGAUUUCUAAACAAAAAAGUAAAAUUCAUAAAGGGGUAAAAUGCAAAUGACAAAAUCUGCUAUUUUCCCUACUUCUGUUGCCUAUAAAGGCACCUUUCUUGCCUUCUAAGGUAGAAAUUCAGUGAUAAAAUUCCAAAAAAUAAAAUGGCUAAGCGCCAUUAUAUUCAUUGAAUUUUUUUCCCUUCCUUGGUUGAUUUCUGAAGAUUUCCAGGCUUGACACUUUUUUUGGUUCAUUUUGACAGUUCACAUGGAGUGAUAUUGAGCUUUGGGAAGGUUUUCUGGUUCGAGUUGUUAAGGAUCACUGUUGCAUUAAAUUGUCCAGGUGGUUUUAGUGUGUCAAUUGUUGAAUCUGAGUGAACUGGGGUUGCUGGUGUUGGCAUGUUACUGCUCUAUUGCUGAUUCUUCCUUUUCUAUUUUAUUUUUGAAUUCCAGGUACUUUUCCUCAAUAUGAAAUAAAAUCUGAAAGCAUGAUAUAGAUCCCUUUGUUUCAUUUCUAGUUCUUCACGAUUCUAUGCUUUCUAUCACAUGAAUCACUGUGUAAUUAACAAGAUUCCUAUGUUUGUACUUGCUUAAGGACAGUUAGAAAAUUGAUGUUUUUCUUUCUUUCAGUUUGUUUUCUUUUACUACUAUGAUGGAUAUAUAAGUGUGCCUGUUACUUUUAGCUUUUCAUACCCUUAAUAUGCAUUAAUGAUGAACUAAUGUCAUUUAAAUGUGAAGGUUUUGGUUGAAUUCAAGAUUUUUGACAAGCAGUACUGGUCUAUUCUAUCCUCACCCCAUUCAACAAGUUAGAGUUUAGUUUUAGAUAUAUUUAAUGGUAUCCCUUGUAUAUGAUCAGUCCUGCGAGCUGGUUUCUGGUUUAUGAAAUUUCGUUGUCUUUUAUAUGAUAGUUAAGGCUAAUACAUAAGCAAUUGUAUGACAAUAAGGUUUUGAAUUCAUGCUUAACAUGUUUUGUAUUGUAUUAAUAUUUUCAUUUGAAUGAGUGUUAAAACAUCCAAUGAUUGUGUUGAGGGCUUUAGUACUGAUUUUUAAGAUUCUAGAGGGAACUAGGCUAUAAUGCAUUGGUCUAUUGGCUGUUAAUGUUGAGGUGAAUUAAAUUCAGCUUAGUCGUUGAGAGGUUCAUUGAUUGUCUAUUAUUGCUUACAUGAGCAGAGCUGGUUUUUUAGGUUCAUGGUUAAAGUCCUACUAGUUUUGUUCAUGCGAGAUUUGCAUAUCAGCAUUUCAAGUUAAAAGCUUUGAAAAUUUAAAUUCAUAUGCAGUAUGGUUUUCUCAAAAUUGGCUUCCUGAUUGUUGUCAAAUCGUGAAAUUGUUAAAGCUUUCAUGUAGUUGUCCAUAGGUCCAUUACAGGGUGUUAUAUAACUUGGCAUAUACGGUAGUUCCACGAUUAUUUUCUACUAUGUCAUUCUCUAUUUGCAUGUUGCAAGGGCUCAAUAUUGAGCCCAGCUUGUGAUAACUCCAGAUCUCUGAAAUUGGGCUCACUUUGGGCCAAUUGAGUACAAUCAAGGUCGUUUGAAGAUGCCAGUGACAGCUUUAUCCUUAGAGAAGUUGGAUUCUCAUUAAAUCUAAAAAUAAUUGAAGGUCCUCACCUGCCUAGAUGACUCGAUCGCGACUUUAGCAUUGUGAAUGCUCAUCCUCAAAAUAUGUAGGGCCCACGUUGGGCCCAAGUUGAAGAUUAGCUCCCAUUCUUCAUAUUUAGAGCCGUCUGUUAAAGACCAUGUUCUGAAAUGAGAAACGCAGUAGACUUCACCUAGUCUUCCCCCCAUUUAGAUUCAUAAUGAAAUAUUCAGAGUUUGCUUUAAGCACUUCUAAUAUAUUAUCGCGGUCUUGGACACAUUCGCGUGACAUGAUUAAGAUAUUAAAAAAAACAAAAGUAGAGUAUUUAUUUGUGCAACAUUCGCCAAAUUUUCUUAAUAAUAACAAAGCGUUAUUAAUUUUUAACAGUUCGCAUGCCAUGAUUUUUUCUUGACGCACCGAACAAAUGGGUACACGUACGCAUGACCCGUUUUAAGAUAUUUUUUCUUAAUUAAAAGCGGUAAGAGGUAAAUGCACAUAGAUUCUAAAAGCAGUAAUUAUAUAAGCCAAGUAUGAUCAAAGCGAUCAUGCUAGAAACACAGAACUCGAGAAUGCCUAACACCUUCUCCUGGUUAACAAAAUACCUUACCUGGAAUUCUGUGUUCGCGAACAUAAACUGAGUGAAAUCUUUCCUCGAUUCGGGAUCCCAAACUGGUGACUUGGAAUACCAUAACUUAUCCCAAGUGGCGACUCUGAAUAUUUAAUAAAUAAAUUCUGUUUUGAUUGUCACUUAAGUUGGAAAAAACUCCCUAAUAUAUACUCUUCUGGGGGUGUAAUGAAAAAGGACGUGCGACCAUCGCCGCCGUCCUCUAGCUAGGAAGCAUACAAAGCCCCCCUCUUUCCAUAGGAGGCACAUCCUCGUCCUUGAGGGAUCAUCCAAUACCAAACUACGCCCGAACAAGAGAGGCAUAAGAAGUAAACACGACAACCAAAUCUUCCAUAACCGUAAACAGAGCUGACAGAACACAGAGCAACUCACCCGUGUUCGGUCUCUACCAUCCCCUAAAAGAACAGUCUUUAAAAGCAUGGUCCAUCAGCACCAUGGAGUCAGCGGAUAUGGAUGAUCCACGGAGGUAAAAGUAACCUCACAUUACAUAUGGGAAGAGCGACAAUAAUUCAAAGCUACUAAAUGCCACUAGCUACCAGCACCGUCUCUAAUUUCAAGAUUGACCUACAGCUUCUAAGACCUCCACUAUAGGAAAUCAACUUGCGAAGAGAUAGGUGCUUUUAACAAACACCCGUACGAAACAAGCCCUGGUGCUGACAAAAUUUUAUAAGCAUGGGCAAGCCUUCAUUCGGAGACUGCCUUCGAGGAGUCAUCGACGUCCCUGGUCCGCAGGUCCUUGGGCAAGCUUCUCCUCGAAAGGUAAUUAUAAGUCCCAAGGACAUUAUCUAUGCCUUCAUGCAAAGAGAUGGCCCCAACAGCCCGAAAUUAUCGGCCUCAUUAGGGUGCAGCUCGAGGAGACAUGAAGGACCCGAAGUAAAGCCAUUUUGACAACGAAAAGGUCGGGAAAAAUGCUCACGUCCAAGGUAAAUAUCACAGGUUACCAAACAAGAUCGUGCAUUCGAGGCGGCCAAAAAUAUAAAGGAGCACAGCAAGUAUCAAAGAAAGGGAUCAAGGAAAUAUCUUUAUAUUAAUAAAAAUGCUCGAAUACAAGAUGGCUAUGACUAAAAGUUAUCAAGAAAGGAAGAAAAGAUGGAUAUCAAAGGAAGUUUGUGUAAGAAGCCGACCACGAGAAAGCCCAUAUAUAAGGGGAAGGCAAAAUAACUGACGGCGCCAUCACCACGCUUGAAUAGCGUAACAGCAAGUGCAAUCAAUACGUUCGUAGAAACUGAACCGAUGUCAAUAAUAUAAUGCAGAAGAAUGAAGAUUCGCAACAUUUCAAGCGAUCUCUUACUUGUAAAAGAGGUGUUGAAUUGUCAACCUGACGUCAUUACGGAUGACCGAGAAGUGAAGUGUCAAAAUAAUUUCUUGUCCCUUCCCUCUAUGAAACGUGAAGACUAUUUGUGUGCAGUGAAACCUGGGAGGCCAAUUUCUUCUAGCAAAAAUACUUCGGAGGGUAAUCUCGGAAGCGCGGAAUAUCGAGCCAGUCACUUCCUUCCUGAUCGAUCAAUGCCCUGCAAAGGAUACUGCAAGCCGAAGUCCUGAUGAACGUAGGAAUUCCCAAGGAAUGCCUUCAAGGUCGACUGAGCAUAUUUGAUCGCUCCGAUACCGGCUCGUGCAUACGUCAUAACGCUAGCUGGUUGUCCCAUCCCAUUUCACUUGACACAUAACGUAUCUUGUUCUAAGUUUGGUCUCCCCCUUUCUAUAAAAAAAGGAGCUACUAACACUCCUUAAAGGAGUGCUCCAACUAUUUUACAAAAGUGCAAUAAUAUCUUUAGCUCUCUCUAUCUCUUCUUUCUAAAUUGCUUGUUCUCAUUGGCCCGAGGCCGUUCUGAUAUUUAUAGCUUUCAUAUUUGUUCGUCAUUUAUUACUUGGUAUUGAUUAUAAAGAGUCUUGCAUGAUUAUAUUCUAAUUGUUAUCCUAUUAUCAACUAUUCUGAUACCUCGAGAUUGACCCAAAUGCCAACCCCAAGGUCCUUGACCAACCUGUCCUGCACCUAGGCAACAGGUUCCUUGCCUCGCUCAACUCCCCUUUUUAGUCUGUAUUCCCUGUAUAAAAUGAUCCUGGACAGUAAGCCUUCAUGUUCAUGUAUUGCCCUAUUUAAGCUCGCAUUUCGUCAUCACACUUCUUAUUUUUAGCAUCAACUGAUCUAAGAAACUAGCUCAAGAAUAGAUCACGUAUUUUUAGAAUUCUAUUUAUAAAUUUAAUUGUUAUUACCAUUUUUCACGGUAAACAAACAUCUAGAACUACGAAUUGAGAACCAAAUCAAUUGAGAUUUUUAAGAAAACUUUGAAACUUCUAUUUUAACAAUCGGAUGUUAGAAUCAUAUCAAUCUAACUCCGUCAAAUUUUAUAGAUAAGUCAUAAAUAUGGCAUUGGACCUAUACAAGAUUUUAGAAUCAAAAUACAGAGCCUAUAUCUAAAUAGUCUUAUUAUUGGUCAAACAUUUCAAAUUCAUUAAGCCUUUAACUUUCAAAUUUUUAAAAAGUUCAUAACUUGGGCUAGGGACUUUCGAAAUCGUUUUUGGGCAUACGCUCAAGCCUCAAAUCACGAUACAGACCCACUGGGACUAUCAAAAUUUGAAUCCGGAUUUGUUUGCUCAAAAUAUUAUACUGGAGUCAACUCAGAUGGGUUCCAAAGAAAAAAUUUCAAAUUAUUUUUUAUUGUUUUUAACAUAAAAGCUUUCUGAAAAUACAUUCGGACUGUGCACACAAAUUGAAAAGAGUUAAAAAAGGUUUUCACAACAUAGAACCGUAGAAUUAGGUUCUAUAACAUUAGAUGACCUAUCUGGUCAUCAUAUAGGUGACUUUCCUGAGUAUUCAUUUUCUUAUAACAAUUCUUUAAAACUGUUUAUUUACAAAGCAAAAAAGAUUACAACAUAGAAUAUUUACAGUUUACAUUCUUUCUACCAAACCAAUAGGAUGGUCCAUUGAUAAAAGUAGCAAAUGUUGACCCGAGCGGUUUUGGUUUGGAUGAUUGACAAAGCAACAUAUGCAUAGACUAGAUCCGUGGGCAGUGUACACAGGUACUGUCAGAUUCAAGCAAAAGUUAUGCACGUAUAAAGGAUAAAUAUAAGUGGUUAUUUCUUAUAUUUCAUGUACGGAAAGAUUGCAUAUUUGAUAAAGAGAAGGACUCAUUACUUGAAGAUGGACUCCUUACUUAAAGAGAACUCUAUCCAAGAUAAGGAAUGAUUAGAAGUUGAAGAUAGUUAUAAUUAUUCUUCCAUCAAGGAAAAGUAAAACAUUAGAACUCUAGUUAAUCCCUAUUUUACUAACUCUACAAAUAUCAAUUGUGUUAUCUUUUACAGGUGACAAAGACAAGCUUAAUUUAUGCAAGAACUGAGAGCAAAAUAUCAAGGCAUUUUAAAAGCAAUUCUU